rnacentral:rRNA from 1 species
GUGAAAUCCCCGGGCUUAACCUGGGAACUGCAUUCGAAACUGGCAGGCUAGAGUCUUGUAGAGGGGGGUAGAAUUCCAGGUGUAGCGGUGAAAUGCGUAGAGAUCUGGAGGAAUACCGGUGGCGAAGGCGGCCCCCUGGACAAAGACUGACGCUCAGGUGCGAAAGCGUGGGGAGCAAACAGGAUUAGAUACCCUGGUAGUCCACGCCGUAAACGAUGUCGACUUGGAGGUUGUUCCCUUGAGGAGUGGCUUCCGGAGCUAACGCGUUAAGUCGACCGCCUGGGGAGUACGGCCGCAAGGUUAAAACUCAAAUGAAUUGACGGGGGCCCGCACAAGCGGUGGAGCAUGUGGUUUAAUUCGAUGCAACGCGAAGAACCUUACCUACUCUUGACAUCCAGAGAACUUAGCAGAGAUGCUUUGGUGCCUUCGGGAACUCUGAGACAGGUGC